rnacentral:lncRNA from 1 species
UAGCGAAGGGAAAGGUACAUUUUCACGGUGCUUCAGGAUGUUACACAGGUGAGAAUUUGCUUCUGUACAGAACAAAGAGGAUCAGCAACAGAGAGGGGAGCCAUCAGGGGAUCACAAUGUGACAGACACCGUUUCGAAAACACAUAAAAUCAUGCACCGAAUCCUGUUCUGCCUGAAUUCAAGGCUGACAAAUUUCCACCAUUACAUUUUUUAUGUUGUAACUGACCUGUGUAUCCAUUUAAAGAUGUCAUAAUAAUAAUUUCAAUAAUUAUUGUAAAUCUAGGAAAGUAUUACUACCCAAAUGUAUUCUGAACAUUUUGGAAGCACAAUGUUAUUUAUUGCUUUUGCAUGAAAAAAUAAUUGUUAGUGAAAAAUUAAUGGACCUGCAUGUAAGUACUCAACAUGCUCACAUAAUUAAACUGGUGAAUUAUAUUCCACACAUUUGCGGUGUUUCCUGGGGAAAAAAAAGUAUCGUGGGAGUUAAAUCUUUGAAAGAAUUGGGAAGAAAAUAAACACACAUUAAAGACACUGAGAACGUUUUAGAACUGGAGAAAGAAAGGUUCUUACUGAUUAUCUUCAGAGUAGAGCAAGAAGGUGGUCAUGGAUUUAAAUCCAGGUGGACAGAAACUAAUUAUUCGCUCUAAAAAAGUCAGAUAACAUAAAAGACAGAAUCUAUAGCCAAUAAACAACAUGACAGAAAC